rnacentral:lncRNA from 1 species
GCUAAGGCUCCUCCCCGACGAACCCCAUUCCUGCUUUCCCGCUCAAAUGUUGCAUUUUCUAAGACCUCCCUGGCCCGCCAUACGCCGAUCCUGAACCUACGAAAACCCAAGACUGCGGGCACGGUGGCUCAUGCCUGUAAUCCCAGCACUUUGGGAGGCCGAGGCGGGCAGAUCACGAGGUCAAGAAGUCGAGACCAGCCUUGCUAACAUGGCGAAACCCUGACUCUACUGAAAAUACAAAAAUUAGCUGGGCGUGAUGGCGUGCGCGCCUGUAGUCCCAGCUGCUCGGGAGGCUGAGGUAGGAGAAUCGCUUCAAUCCGGGAGGUGGAGGUUGCGGUAAGCAGAGAUUGCGCCACUGCACUCUAGCCUGGCGACAGAGACUCCUUCAAAAACAACAACAACAACAACAACAACAACAAAACAAAACCUCCCAAGACCCUAGUGGGCAGACACACAGCCAGCCAGACAUGGAGAGGAGCACAUUAGCAGAAGAAGACGCAAGUGGCUGGUCCUCGAGAGGACGUUGAGAGGAGCAUGCCAGCAGAAGAGCACACAACGACAGGCACCGACACACCACCGGCAGGCCAUGCACCAGCAGAAUGAUGCGGAGUUUGACGGGGCAGUCAGAGAAGAGCCUGGGCCGCCAAGGGGCCCGACUCCAGGGGAAAACCAUCUCCCUUCUGGCUCCCCCAUCUGCUGAGAGCUACUUCUACUCAAUAAAACCUUGCACUCAUUCUCCAAGCCCACGUGUAAUCCGAUUCUUCAGGUAAGCCAGGGCAAGAAACCCCAGGAUACAGAAAUCCUUCUGUCCUUGUGAUAAGAAAGGGGGUGUAAUUGAGCUAACACAAACCGCCUAUAGAUGGCAACCUAAAAGAGCAUCCUGUAACACACGCCCGCCCACUGGGGCUUCAGGAGCUGUAAAUAUUCACCCCUAGACACUGCUGUGCGAUCGGAGCCCCACAGCCUGCCCGCCUGUAUGCUCCCCUAGAGGUCUGAGCAGCAGGGCACUGAAGAAUCGAGCCACACCUCAUCACACACCCUGCGAGGGGGACAAGGGAGCUUUUCCCAUAUCAAGUAGAUUGCCCUGGUGCUGCAGAAGCAGGAAAAACAGGACCUGCCCAUACCCAAGAGCCCGGCAACUCUGGCUAGAGUGAGGCCUGAAAUUGUGUCCGGAAUUGGUGGGUUCUUGGUCUCACUGGCUUCCUCUCAAAAUCACGCUCAAGAGACGCCACAGUUAGAGUUUCCUAGGCUGUGUCCUUUGCCUGGAAUGCUCUCUCUUGCUGGCUGGCUUCUUCCCACCAGCUGUGGCCAGGGCUGCUCCUUAUUCCUUCGUCAAAACUCCGUCUGCUGGGUGUGGUGCCUCACACCUGUAAUCCCAGCACUUUGAGAGGCCAAGGUGGGAGUAUCGUUUGAGCCCAGGAGUUCAAGACAAGCCUGGACAACAGAGCAAGACCCUGUCUCUACCAAAGAAAAGAAAAGAAAAGAAAAGAAACAGCCACUUUCUCUUCCAUGAGCCAGUUUAUGUUUUCUUCACGGCAUUUGUUACAAAUGUAAGUUAAAAGUCCUAAAUACAUAUUUGUUCAAUGAAUGUCGAAGUGCUCUGACCUUAUAUUCAAUUUUCCUAUCCAAGGCAAAAACCAUUAUGGGAAAAAUAGUAGAAAAUUGGCUACUUAAAAGUUAACCACACUUAAGAAAGUCUAGCAUGCAAGGUAGUGAUUAUCCUGGAGCAUUCAAAAGGCAUUUGGGUCUCAUUUACGAGGGGUUUUCUGCAGACCUCAGUUUCUUAAAUUUUAGUCAAUAUAUUUUUAAAGUAGGCAUAAUUUAUCACACGCUUUUGCAGCUUUACUCUUUAUAACUCUAAGAAACUGUAGAAAAUGUUUUCUUUCCCUGUCUCCUACAUGUUUGAAGAUGAAAUUGAAAAUUCAGCCAAUAAAACUGUGCUAAAAAGUUUGACACUAAGAAAAAGAAAGGCCCCUCUCCUGGUGAGUUUCACUGUGAGAUGGCUGGAAAUGUUGAUUGGUGGAUCUGUGUUUGUUCGUUAGUUUGGGGCCUGGACACUGAGAGUUAAGUCCACUUAGAGAUGUCAGGGAACCCAUACUUUUGGUUAAAAGCCAAAAGGGAAUGUGGGGAGGGAGUUACGGACUGAAAUAGGCGGUAGGGUUUUCUCCCUGUGUGUCCCCCUUUCUCUGUCCCUUGUUUGGUUUAUGCAUAGAUUUUUGUUGUGUAUCCUUCAAUCCCUUCCACAUUACCCUUCUCUCUUUCACCCUUAAACUGAGAUUUAGAACUAAAAUGAGAGUUUACGAAGGUACUGGCUAUAAUUAUUUUAUUUACUAUUUAUUAAUUUUUUUGAGACAGGAUUUCUCUCUGUUGCCCAGGCUGGAGUACAGUGGUGCAAUCAUGGCUCACUGCAACUUUGAGCUCCCAGGCUCAUGCAAUUCUGCCACCUGUGCCUCCUGAGUAGCUGGGACGACAGGCACAUGCCACCAUGCCCAGCUAAUCUUUUUACUUUUUGUAGAAAUAGGGUCUCACUAUGUUGCCUAGGCCGGCCUUGGACUCCUGGGCUCAAGCAAUUCUCAUGCCUCAACCUCCCAAAGUGCUAGGAUUACAGGUGUGAACCACCGCGCCUGGCCUAUAAUUAUGAAAAAAAACCCCACUAUUUUCUGAUAUGAUUUUUAAUUUAUUCCUCUAAUAUAAUAUUCUAUUACUCAGGUUUACUUUAGACAAAAACUACCUCCUUUGCUUACUAUUUUUAAAUGGUUAUUGAAGGAGUCAAUAGCCUGCAAAUAUGUGCAUUUCUUUGACCCAGAAACUUUGCUUCUAGGAAUUUGUAUUAAGGAAAUAAUUCAACCAGUAGGUAAAGAACUUGUAUAAGCCUGUUUAUUCUAGACCUGUUCCAUCUUAUUGAAAAAUUCAUACACAACCUAAAUGUCCAACAAUAAUGUUGAUUAAAUAAAUGUAAGUAUAUCCAUACAAUUAAAUGUUAUACAGCUAUUAAAAUUAAUGAUGUCAGCAGGGCACAGUGGCUCACGCCUGUAAUCCUAGCACUGCCGAGGCGGGCAGAUCAGUUGAGGUCAGGAGUUUGAGACCAGCCUGGCCAACAUGAUGAUGUUGGCUGGGCGCAGUGGCUCACGCCUGUAAUUCCAGCACUGCUGAGGCGGGCAGAUCACUUGAGGUCAGGAGUUUGAGACCAGCCUGGCCAACAUGGCGAAACCCCGUCUCUACUAAAAAUACAAAAAUUAGCCAGGCAUGAUAGCACAUGCUCGUAAUCCCAGCUACUCAGGAGGCUGAGGCAAGAGAAUUGCUUGAACCCGGGGGGCAGAGGUUGCAAUGAGCCAAGAUCACGCCACUGCACUCCAGCCUGGGUG